AGGCACAAUAGGACUAGGUUCCCACUACAAGGAUUAGAUUUGGCUACUGCAGUCCCGGUUUGGGUCCAGCCUCACUUGUAAAGACUAAAGAUGAAGACAACAUACAAGAACAAUUUAGAGAACGGCGACACACUUUUUAUUCCACCUAUAUAAACCCUUUUAUGUGUAAGCAACAUUCCACAAGAUAAAACAAAACUAAAUGACAAGUUAUUUCUUUUUAUUUUGUCUGUUUUCUUGGAACAUUGUACAUAAUCUAC